rnacentral:lncRNA from 10 species
CUAUUCUGUUCCACAGUGAAGGGUCAGAGUUGGCUACUUUCUCCCAAUGGGUCAGAAGUGAGACUGCACAGGUUUCAUUCAGCCUCUACCUCCUGCUGUGCCACCUUAAUCAAAUGCUUAUCCUCUCCAGGACCUCAACAGAUUCGUGUUACUAAAAUACCUACAAAAAUGCUUGUGUUUAUGUUUAAAGAACACCUUCCAGGCCAAGGUCAGCCCCCGUGGAAGACUCCCCAACAGUCGUGGAUGGGCUGGAGGAGAGAAGUCACAACAUGUUUCCUGUUAAAAGAAACUUUAAACCGUAAAUCACUUUCUCACAAGGAA